rnacentral:rRNA from 1 species
UACGGAGGGGGCUAGCGUUGUUCGGAAUUACUGGGCGUAAGGCGCACGUAGGCGGAUUACUAAGUCGGGGGUGAAAUCCCGGGGCUCAACCCCGGAACUGCCUUCGAUACUGGUAGUCUAGAGUUCGAGAGAGGUGAGUGGAAUUCCGAGUGUAGAGGUGAAAUUCGUAGAUAUUCGGAGGAACACCAGUGGCGAAGGCGGCUCACUGGCUCGAUACUGACGCUGAGGAGCGAAAGUGUGGGGAGCGAACAGG